AGGUUUGAUCCUGGCUCAGAACGUACGCUGGCGGCACGCCUAACACAUGCAAGUCGAACGCAGUAGCAAUACUGAGUGGCAAACGGGUGAGUAUAAUGUGGGAAUCUGCCUUUUGGUUUGGAAUAACACGAGGAAACUUGUGCUAAUACCGGAUAAGCCUUCACAGGGAAAGUUUUAUACGCCAAAAGAUGAGCCCGCACUUGAUUAGCUAGUUGGUGAGGUAAUAGCUCACCAAGGCAACGAUCAAUAGCUGUUCUUAGAGGAAGACCAGCCACAUUGGGACUGAGACACGGCCCAAACUCCUACGGGAGGCAGCAGUGGGGAAUCUUGCACAAUGGGGGAAACCCUGAUGCAGCGAUGCCGCGUGAGUGAAGAAGGCCUUUGGGUUGUAAAACUCUUUCGUCGGGGAAGAAAAUGACUGUACCCGAAUAAGAAGGUCCGGCUAACUUCGUGCCAGCAGCCGCGGUAAUACGAAGGGACCUAGCGUAGUUCGGAAUUACUGGGCUUAAAGAGUUCGUAGGUGGUUGAAAAAGUUGGUGGUGAAAUCCCAGAGCUUAACUCUGGAACUGCCAUCAAAACUUUUCAGCUAGAGUAUGAUAGAGGAAAGCAGAAUUUCUAGUGUAGAGGUGAAAUUCGUAGAUAUUAGAAAGAAUACCAAUUGCGAAGGCAGCUUUCUGGAUCAUUACUGACACUGAGGAACGAAAGCAUGGGUAGCGAAGAGGAUUAGAUACCCUCGUAGUCCAUGCCGUAAACGAUGUGUGUUAGACGUUGGAAAUUUAUUUUCAGUGUCGCAGGGAAACCGAUAAACACACCGCCUGGGGAGUACGACCGCAAGGUUAAAACUCAAAUGAAUUGACGGGGACCCGCACAAGUAGUGGAGCAUGUGGUUUAAUUCGAAGAUACGCGCAGAACCUUACCAACACUUGACAUGUUCGUCGCGACUCUAAGAGAUUAGAGUUUUCGGUUCGGCCGGACGAAACACAGGUGCUGCAUGGCUGUCGUCAGCUCGUGUCGUGAGAUGUUGGGUUAAGUCCCGCAACGAGCGCAACCCUCACUUUUAGUUGCCAUCAUUAAGUUGGGCACUCUGAAAGAACUGCCAGUGAUAAGCUGGAGGAAGGUGGGGAUGACGUCAAGUCCUCAUGGCCCUUACGUGUUGGGCUACACACGUGCUACAAUGGCAUCUACAACAGGAAGCAAAACGGCAACGUUAAGCAAAUCCCGAAAAGAUGCCUCAGUUCGGAUUGCACUCUGCAACUCGAGUGCAUGAAGCUGGAAUUACUAGUAAUCGUGGAUCAGCGUGCCACGGUGAAUGCGUUCCCGGGUCUUGUACACACCGCCCGUCACACCAUGGGAGUUGGUUCUACCUUAAGGCAAGGUUUUAAACCCUUGACCACGGUAUAGUCAGCGACUGGGGUGAAGUCGUAACAAGGUAACC
rnacentral:rRNA from 1 species